rnacentral:rRNA from 1 species
AGACUGGGAUAACUCCGGGAAACCGGGGCUAAUACCGGAUGCUUGUUUGAACCGCGUGGUUCAAACAUAAAAGGUGGCUUCGGCUACCACUUACAGAUGGACCCGCGGCGCAUUAGCUAGUUGGUGAGGUAAUGGCUCACCAAGGCGACGAUGCGUAGCCGACCUGAGAGGGUGAUCGGCCACACUGGGACUGAGACACGGCCCAGACUCCUACGGGAGGCAGCAGUAGGGAAUCUUCCGCAAUGGACGAAAGUCUGACGGAGCAACGCCGCGUGAGUGAUGAAGGUUUUCGGAUCGUAAAGCUCUGUUGUUAGGGAAGAACAAGUACCGUUCGAAUAGGGCGGUACCUUGACGGUACCUAACCAAAAAGCCACGGCUAACUACUUGCCACCAGCCGCGGUAAUACUUAGGUGGCAAGCGUUGUCCGGAAUUAUUGGGCGUAAAGGGCUCGCAGGCGGUUUCUUAAGUCUGAUGUGAAAGCCCCCGGCUCAACCGGGGAGGGUCAUUGGAAACUGGGGAACUUGAUUGCAGAAGAGGAGAGUGGAAUUCCACGUGUAGCGGUGAAAUGCGUAAAGAUGUGGAGGAACACCAGUGGCGAAGGCGACUCUCUGGUCUGUAACUGACGCUGAGGAGCGAAAGCGUGGGGAGCGAACAGGAUUAGAUACCCUGGUAGUCCACGCCGUAAACGAUGAGUGCUAAGUGUUAGGGGGUUUCCGCCCCUUAUGCUGCAGCUAACGCAUUAAGCACUCCGCCUGGGGAGUACGGUCGCAGAACUGAAACUCAAAGG